UGGGGAAUAUUGCACAAUGGGGGAAACCCUGAUGCAGCAACGCCGCGUGAGUGAUGACGGCCUGGUUGUAAGCUCUGUCUUCAGGGACGGAUAAUGACGGUACCUGAGGAGGAAGCCACGGCUAACUACGUGCC
rnacentral:rRNA from 1 species